rnacentral:rRNA from 1 species
GCAAGUCGAACGCGAAAGUCGCUUCGGCGGCGAGUAGAGUGGCGGACGGGUGAGUAACGCGUGGGAAUCCACCCUGUAGUGGGGGACAACCCGAGGAAACUCGGGCUAAUACCGCAUACUUUCUACGGGAGAAAGGGGGCCUCUGAUUCAAGCUCCCGCUACGGGACGAGCCCGCGUCGGAUUAGCUAGUUGGUAGGGUAAGAGCCUACCAAGGCGACGAUCCGUAGCUGGUCUGAGAGGAUGAUC